UUGCGCUCCUUCUCUUCUUGCAUGCACAGAUGGCCCCUCCCUCUAGAGCAGCUUUGAAGUGCCCCAUGGACAGUGAUGAAGACAAUGUUGUUCUCAUCAGCUAGAGCUAAGAAGGCAAAGAACUCGUCAACUCCUUCAGCGCAUGUGCCCCUGUCGCUCCUACAUCACCCUCACCCCCCUGCGGAUGAUGACAUUGUUGUCGAUGCAUCCAAAGCAUUGCGCAUCUUCUUCAAUGUCAUUGAUUCUGUCCCAGCUCAGAAUCUCCUAAGGCUCCACUUCGCUUCUGAGACAGCUAUCUGUGGCAAGCUCUUCAUGGCUACGAAUGCCCUCACGUGUUGCUCGUCCACAAGCGCUACGACAUAUCAAAGAGCUCCGCCGGUGUUAUGCAUGUUUCUACUUGAAGCAUCGAGGACGCCGUGCUGCUCGAAUCGCAAGUGCAUGCUGCGUUCGGUGUCAUACUAUCCUUCCAUCACGUGUCUACGGUCGACCGCGAGUUUCCUUAUGCACGCGGCGAAGCUGCUGCGUUCAAGUUGUAUGAGCAUGACCGUUUGUGAUUUGUGCCUACUGAUGUGGCUUGUGGCUUCGGCAAUCUGUAUCCUAUUUCCGUUUUUGAUGUGUGCCUGCUGAUGUGGCUUGUGCCUUCGGCAAUCUGUAUUCUGUUUUUAUUUCCAUGUUGUGUUUCGAAGAGC